rnacentral:rRNA from 1 species
AGAGUUUGAUCCUGGCUCAGGACGAACGCUGGCGGCGUGCCUAAUACAUGCAAGUCGAGCGGACAGAUGGGAGCUUGCUCCCUGAUGUUAGCGGCGGACGGGUGAGUAACACGUGGGUAACCUGCCUGUAAGACUGGGAUAACUCCGGGAAACCGGGGCUAAUACCGGAUGGUUGUUUGAACCGCAUGGUUCAAACAUAAAAGGUGGCUUCGGCUACCACUUACAGAUGGACCCGCGGCGCAUUAGCUAGUUGGUGAGGUAACGGCUCACCAAGGCGACGAUGCGUAGCCGACCUGAGAGGGUGAUCGGCCACACUGGGACUGAGACACGGCCCAGACUCCUACGGGAGGCAGCAGUAGGGAAUCUUCCGCAAUGGACGAAAGUCUGACGGAGCAACGCCGCGUGAGUGAUGAAGGUUUUCGGAUCGUAAAGCUCUGUUGUUAGGGAAGAACAAGUACCGUUCGAAUAGGGCGGUACCUUGACGGUACCUAACCAGAAAGCCACGGCUAACUACGUGCCAGCAGCCGCGGUAAUACGUAGGUGGCAAGCGUUGUCCGGAAUUAUUGGGCGUAAAGGGCUCGCAGGCGGUUUCUUAAGUCUGAUGUGAAAGCCCCCGGCUCAACCGGGGAGGGUCAUUGGAAACUGGGGAACUUGAGUGCAGAAGAGGAGAGUGGAAUUCCACGUGUAGCGGUGAAAUGCGUAGAGAUGUGGAGGAACACCAGUGGCGAAGGCGACUCUCUGGUCUGUAACUGACGCUGAGGAGCGAAAGCGUGGGGAGCGAACAGGAUUAGAUACCCUGGUAGUCCACGCCGUAAACGAUGAGUGCUAAGUGUUAGGGGGUUUCCGCCCCUUAGUGCUGCAGCUAACGCAUUAAGCACUCCGCCUGGGGAGUACGGUCGCAAGACUGAAACUCAAAGGAAUUGACGGGGGCCCGCACAAGCGGUGGAGCAUGUGGUUUAAUUCGAAGCAACGCGAAGAACCUUACCAGGUCUUGACAUCCUCUGACAAUCCUAGAGAUAGGACGUCCCCUUCGGGGGCAGAGUGACAGGUGGUGCAUGGUUGUCGUCAGCUCGUGUCGUGAGAUGUUGGGUUAAGUCCCGCAACGAGCGCAACCCUUGAUCUUAGUUGCCAGCAUUCGGUUGGGCACUCUAAGGUGACUGCCGGUGACAAACCGGAGGAAGGUGGGGAUGACGUCAAAUCAUCAUGCCCCUUAUGACCUGGGCUACACACGUGCUACAAUGGACAGAACAAAGGGCAGCGAAACCGCGAGGUUAAGCCAAUCCCACAAAUCUGUUCUCAGUUCGGAUCGCAGUCUGCAACUCGACUGCGUGAAGCUGGAAUCGCUAGUAAUCGCGGAUCAGCAUGCCGCGGUGAAUACGUU